rnacentral:misc_RNA from 1 species
AUGAAUUUGGACUCGUUGUCUUUUACGUUAGCUCAAAUUUCUCAUCUUGUUUCCGGACUUACUAAGAAAAACUAUUGUGAUAGCUGCGAGGAGAUAGCGCUUUUGGUGCGGUGGAAAGGUCUGGAGGUAGAUAGACAUUUGCUGCGCUGUUUGUUUCUAAUUAUUGACUUUUCCACUGGAGAACCUCCUGAACCUAGCUCAAAACAUUAUUAUCAAGUACAACUACUGAAGCAAGAGUGCAAAACUCUGUUAGGCAAACCAUCUUUUGUAUCCAAUCUUUGCUUUGCCAUUGAUUUCACAUUUCCUCUGCCCAAUACUACUGUGCCAAUUCAAAAAUUUUUUCAGUACAUUCGUAAAGUACUAGGAUUAUCAUUAUUGCAGGAUACUGUGUUUGCAUUAGCUUUGAAACAUUCCAAAACUACUGAAAUAGCCACUCGUGCUAUUGAUCAUUUAAAGCAUCAAUUACCGGAACUGAUAAGAAAUUACAUAAACGCUGAAAGUAGUAAAAAACACAUUAGCGAAGAAGGUCUGCACGAUACUUCUCCUGAAAUCUUGCAUCUUAUCCUUAGUUUUGUGUUCGAGGAGUCAACUACGGUUGAACUCUCCUCGGAAAUUAAAGAAAAAUUUUUGAAAAAUCUGAAACGUGACUUCCCACGUGAGCUGGUACCUGUGGUCUUGGCACCACUACUGUACCCAGGUGACGGGGAGGACACUCAAAAAAUUAUUGAAGUAAACAUGGCAGGAAAUCAAAUGGAUAAUGCAAACUUGGUAGAGAUGAUAAUGGAGCUGGGCUACAGUUUUACCAGCAAUGUUGACGAAUGUCGCAACAAUCUCGUUAGUCUCGGUGCACGAGAUAUGUCAGCUCGUUCUGUAGCCAAAAUUUUGUCUCACAUGGCACGUACUUGCAGUGGCCUAGAUGACGCGGCUGGAUUACAUAGUUUUUGGGAUGGCUCAGCUCAAUCUCAAGAAAAUAAAGAUAAACAAGCCACUGAUCCGCCUAUCACAUGGAAUGUUGAUGUAUUCAUUCAAGCUAUUAAAGAAAUGUGUCCAAAACUAGCAUGGAAUGAAGUGAUAGCAAAAUUAGAUCAUCCAGAAUUCUGUAUCAAAGAUCGCCAAGGACUCAAUCUAUUAAUCAGUGGUCUUAAAUUAGGCAUGAAAAUCCAAGGUUACCCACUAGAUGUUUUUCCAGUGGAAUUAUUUUAUAGACACUGGGAUAAUUUUAAAGGUCAAUUUACUCUAAUCCAGCAAAUAUUAAAAAAUCCAGAUGUGUUUAGUUUUGCCGAUUAUGCUUACCAUCCAGUUCAAAUUGAACAACUGAAAUUAACAGAAAACGAAAGUAAAGAGCACCUCACAUGGAGAUCUUUGAAUGUUGUCGAAGUACUAUUAUUUUUGGGAGACCGCCUGAGUUCAAGUAAUUUGGUACAAGAUAUUUUCAAAUGGCCUAUGUCCAAUUGUCCAGAUGUACUUGCAAUGGCAUUAAUUCAAUCAAAUCAACCCAUUACUGCUUUGAGACAAGAACUUUUGGCGAACUUGAUACCGACUUUUCUUAAUAAUCAUCCAAAUAGUAGUGUAAUUUUUCAUUUUGCUUGGUGCACAAACAAUUUAAAAAUCAAAGGAAUUUUUAUGCAAGCAAUGGCUGAAUGGUAUUUACGUAGCGAUAACGAUCAGGCUCGUUUGCUACGUAUCUUGGAUAUUGCCCAAGAUCUCAAAGCUCUGCAAACUUUUUUAAGCAUUCAAUCUUUUCCCUUCGUUAUUGAUCUCGCAUGUUUAGCAUCACGGCGGGAGUGCCUCAAACUUGAAAAAUGGCUAUCUGAUAAAAUUAGAGACCACGGAGAGGCAUUUGUUACUGCCUGCAUAAAAUAUUUACAAAGAAGGUGUCCUCAAUUAAUGGGUCCCACGAAAGAAGAUCCCAAUGUAUCAAGAAUCAAUCAAUUACCUCAAGAGACGCUUAGCACUAUGCUAAAUUGUCUACAAAAUUGCAUUGGAACUGUAUCACAAGAGUGUGCUGAUGCUAUAGUACAGAUGGUACAAAAUUUCAAUAUAACUUAUAAUAAAGGAUCUAUUAUUCGAAUGCCUCCUCCUGCUAUGAGGCACAGAAAUGUAGAUGCAUUAUCGGGACAGUUGUUCACAAAUAAAUCGGCUGAUAAUGUUACAUCACUGAAUUCUAGUUUAGCAUCCAUGAAUAUAACUUCAAACUUGGGUCCACCAACCAAUACUGGAUUUAAUCUUCAAGGGGGUUUAGGUCCCUUGGUGUCUCCAGGUUCUCCUUCAAGACUGAUGGGAGUUGGUCCAUCUGCCUCGCCUUUUCCCAUGGUGCCAAUUUCAUCACAAUUACACACUGGGCCUGUAGGUACGCAAGGCUCCGCUGUUUUGCCAGGAAACAUUCCUGUGGGUACCAUGAAUCGCAUUCCUCAACCUGCGGUGGCUACUGAUAAGUCUCGAAUGGCACAGCAAGAAUAUUCAGCUGAUUUGAAUCAACCCAUGCCAAAAGAAAUAGAAGAUGAAGCAAAUGGAUACUUUCAAAGGAUUUAUAAUCACCCACCUCAUCCAACCUUAUCUAUUGAUGAAGUACUUGACAUGCUUAAAAAGUUUCAAGAUUCGAACAUCAAAAGAGAAAGAGAUGUUUACACGUGCAUGCUACGAAAUCUUUUUGAGGAAUAUAAAUUUUUUCCUCAGUAUCCCGAAAAAGAGUUGCACAUAACAGCUCAACUUUUUGGAGGCAUAAUCGAACGAAGCCUUGUCAACAGUUAUGUUAGUUUAGGAAUGGCAUUGAGAUUUGUCCUAGACUCCCUUCGUAAAAAAGAAGAUACAAAGAUGUAUUACUUUGGUUUAGCUGCGCUAGAUCGUUUCAAAUCUAAAUUAAAGGAGUAUUCAACGUAUUGUAUUCACGUGCGCAAUAUCCCGCACUUUGUUGAAUUUCCUGACCAUUUGAUCGAAUAUGUAGAAUAUGGACUUCAAUCUCAAGAACCACCAACGCGUCCACAAGGUCCAAUAGUACCAAAGUCAAGUAAUGUUCUUGGUUCCGGUACAGUAACCACACCAUUCAAAACCAUUACCACAACUACUGUCACAACCACCACGACUCAAACUAAACCAUCAACCACACCUACGAGUGCUUUGGGCACGGGUCGACCUAGUAUAGCAAACGCCACAAACAUUGAUACUUUGCUUGUAGCCACAGAUAAAGAAGAGAAAAUAACCAGUCCACCUGAAUCACUGCAAGAUAAAACCGCCUUUAUAUUCAACAAUUUAAGCCAGUUAAAUCUGCAACAAAAAUGUGACGAGAUUAGAGAAAUUGUAACGGAAGAGUAUUGGCCAUGGAUGGCCCAGUAUCUGGUUAUGAAGAGAGCCAGUAUUGAGCUAAAUUUCCACGCUUUGUAUUCGAACUUUUUGGAUUGUUUAAAGAUACCGGAAGUUAACAAAAUGGUCACACGAGAGACCUUUAGAAACAUCAAAGUUCUUUUACGAAGUGACAAAGGCAUAGCCAAUUUCUCUGACCGUUCUUUAUUAAAGAAUCUUGGUCACUGGUUGGGCAUGCUUACAUUAGGUCGUAACAAGCCGAUUUUAACAGUUGAUAUUGAUCUUAAAAGCUUACUUAUUGAAGCUUACUGCAAAGGUCAGCAAGAAUUAUUGUAUGUUGUGCCUUUUGUGGCCAAAGUUUUGGAAAGUUGUGCUAAAAGUCGUGUCUUUCGUCCUCCUAACCCGUGGACCAUGGCAAUAAUGAAUGUUCUUGCGGAACUUCAUCAAGAGCAAGAUCUUAAGUUAAAUCUUAAAUUUGAGAUUGAAGUUUUGUGUAAAAAUUUGAAUAUCGAUGUGGCAGAACUAAAACCGGCAAUAUUUUUGAAAGAUCCUGAAAGAGCUCGCAAUAUUGAGUAUCAACUAUCGCAGCCUCCUAAAAAGAAUGAGAAUAUCAAUAAUGCUAAUAAUCAACAGCAAACCAAUGAAGCCAACAAUCAAUCUGCUACGAUAAUUCACCAGCAGCAGCAACUUCAACAACAACAACAGCAGCAGCAACAACAACAACAACAACAACAACAACAACAACAACAACAACAACAGCAACAGCAACAACAACAGCAACAACAACAGCAGCAACACCAACAGCAGCAGCAACAACACCAACAACAGCAGCAGCAGCAACAACAGCAACAGGUGCAGCAAGUACCCUCUGUUGCCAAUACCACACCUUCACUUCCAAGUGUACCAAUUGAACCACGAUUCAGUUUAAAUGAUAUAAACACGUCAAAUAUUGGAAAUAUCCAAUCGCAAAUAACAAUUAACAGCAGUUUACAAAUAUUCCAAACUCACCCUCACCUGAAACAGUUUGUUCGUCAAGCUGUUGAACGUGCCAUUCAAGAAUGGAUACAUCCAGUUGUCGACCGCUCUAUCAAAAUUGCCAUAACAACAACAGAGCAAACUGUAAGAAAAGAUUUUGCAAUGGACGGUGAUGAAUCAAAAAUGCGUACCGCUGCCAAAAGCAUGGUUCGCAAUCUUACUGCUGGAAUGGCUAUGAUAACAUGUCGAGAUCAGAUCCUUGGAUCAAUUAGUACCAAUUUGAAAAGUGCAUUUAAUAUGAUUGGGUUGACACAACAACAAAAGGAAUUAGCAGAUCAAGCAGCCAACGUAGUUGCUACUGAUAAUAUGGAAUUAGCUUGUGCUUUUAUCCAAAAGACGGCCAUCGAAAAAGCUAUACCUGAAAUGGAUAAAAGGUUGAUGCCGGAAUAUGAUGCAAGAAAAGUCGCCAAGAGCGAGGGAAGAAGAUUUACUAAUCCAAUAUCCAAUUUCCAAAAUGAUCGCCUACCAGAACCCUUAAAAUUAAAGUCAACUGGUGUUACUCCUCAACAAAUGGCAGUUUAUGAAGAGUUUGCUCGCAAUAUACCUGGCUUCUUACCAAUGACUUCAGAUCGUGAACGUGAUAUAUCACUUUAUAUACCAAAAAGUAUUGUUGAAAUAACACCGGUUCAACCUGUACAACCAUUUGCAGCUUCUACUGUACCAACUAUGCCAGUUCUAAAUGCACAAGUUUACCCAUCAACUGUUAGUAAUGAUGAAGUUGGUGCUAUGUUAGAAAAACUUGCAAGUGAAGUGGAAGUGAUGAUUACGACUUUGAACUCUACUUCUCCACAACAAAAUACUUCAUUACAUGGUUUGUUAGAAGCGAUCAUUGUAACACGUAGAUCUCGUGAUGCUACCGCAGCAAUGACGAUGUUGAAAAAAGCCGUUGAUAAUCUUAUUGAUGGACCACCUUUAACAAAUAAUUUAAUGGAUUCUGAAACUGUUAUGCGUUACCGCGAUCUUCACCUGCGAGUAUUAAAGUGCCUUCAAGAUCCUCGCGCUUAUGGGUUGCAAUGGACCAACAAAAACGUAACUCGUUGCCUCACGGAAAGUCGAGAAGAUUUCAGGUAUAAUUUUGAGGCCGUAGAUUUACUCAUCCGAUCCCAUUUGAUCAUAUUGGGUCAGUAUGAUGUGGCUCUGGCACAAGCGGUCGAAGCAGGGAAUGCGCUUGCUACUGCCUUUGCUAUUCAACUUAUUCAGUUGUAUUUAAUCGAUGAGAGACAAACUAUCCAUGUUACCGAAUCCGAUUUAUUCCAUACCAUUGAGGUACUCGCUCGAAUGGCCCUUCACAGGUCUGCACCAGAAGGAAUUCCGCUAUUCAGAUUAAAUUCAUUAAUCGAAUCAUUGCGUAUUAAUCACGACCCAGCUGUUCUAACCGAUAGAGCACCAGCUGGUCCCACUGCUCACAUACACUCUGGCAUAUUACAAGUUCGCCAGGCACGUGAGUACGAAGAUCCACCUGGAUUGAUGGAAAAAACUGAAUAUCUUUUGCGAGAGUGGGUGAAUAUGUUCCAUAAUCCGCAGUAUGCACGCGAUCCAACUAAAGCUUUCGGAGUCUUUGUGCAUCAGAUGAAUAUUCAUGGAAUUCUGAAGACUGAUGAUCUCAUAACACGUUUCUUCAAACUUAGUACCCAGAUGUGCGUCGACCACUGUUAUCGUGCUCUAAGCGAAACUAGUUCUGCCCCAUCAAUUGUUCGAGCGAAAUGUUUCCACACUCUCGAUGCAUUUGUUAGGCUUGUUGCUCUAUUAGUUAAACAUUCAGGGGAUUCUACAAAUACUCACACGAAGAUAAAUUUACUCAACAAAGUUCUUGGCAUCGUAGCAGGUGUUCUUUUACAAGAUCAUGAACUGCGCAGUACUGAUUUUCAGCAGUGCCCGUAUCACCGUAUUUUUAUAAUGUUGUUUCUGGAGCUUUGUGCUCCUGAACCAGUUCUUGAAGCUGUUAACUAUCAAGUUCUUACAGCUUUUUGCCACACUUUCCAUAUUCUCAGACCUGCCAAAGCGCCAGGUUUCUGUUAUGCUUGGCUUGAACUAGUAUCCCAUCGUGUUUUUAUCGGACGUAUGCUCGCCAUUACACCACAACAACGUUGCUGGGGUAUAUACGCUCAACUUUUGAUUGAUCUCUUUAAGUAUCUUGCUCCUUAUCUCCGUAAUGCUGAAUUGGCCAAACCAGUCACACUUUUGUACAAAGGUACUCUACGUGUAUUGCUUGUUUUGCUACACGACUUUCCAGAGUUUUUGUGUGACUAUCAUUAUGGAUUUUGCGAUGUUAUCCCACCUAAUUGCAUUCAAAUGCGUAAUCUUAUAUUGAGUGCGUUUCCACGUAAUAUGCGCUUACCUGAUCCAUUCACACCAAAUCUGAAAGUGGAUAUGCUUCAGGAGAUCACUCAUGCUCCUAGGGUACUUACCAAUUUUGCUUCGAUGAUUCAGCCUAUCACAUUUAAAAAAGAACUUGAUGUGUACUUGAAAACGCGUGCUCCAGUUACUUUCCUAGGAGAUCUUCGCACUAAUCUUCAGCAAGGGCAGGGGCUAGGCAUGCGUUACAACAUUCAGCUAAUGAAUGCAUUGGUCAUCUAUGUAGGCACUCAGGCAAUUAAUUUCAUCCGAAGCAAAGGACAUGCACCAAGUAUGUCGACAAUCGCGCAUUCAUCACAUAUGGAUAUUUUCCAGAAUUUAGCAGUCGAUUUAGAUACAGAGGGUCGUUACUUGUUCCUCAAUGCAAUCGCUAAUCAGUUGCGUUAUCCUAAUAGCCAUACGCACUAUUUUAGUUGUACUCUUUUGUACUUGUUUGCUGAAGCUAAUACUGAGGCAAUACAAGAACAGAUAACACGAGUACUGCUUGAGAGACUGAUUGUUAAUCGACCCCAUCCAUGGGGCUUGCUAAUCACAUUUAUUGAACUUAUUAAAAACCCAAACUACAAGUUUUGGCAACACGAGUUCGUUCAUUGCGCGCAAGAAAUUGAAAAAUUCUUUGAGUCGAUCAGUGAAAGGAUUAGUAUUCACUAAGGGAUUUUCUGAACAAUAAUAAAUGCUUCUUAUUACUUCCUACAACGUUUUGGAAUCCGAGCUAUGUCCGUUCAACGGAUAUUAUUACACAUUAUUUGAAUCAGUAGCUCGUUCUUGUAUGGUCCAGAAGCAGGUCCAACCAACACCAGAACCAGAAAUCCCAGAGUGAUAAAACGUUU